UGGUUCGAGGUCAGAUUCUGAGGUUCUUCCCGUGAAAUUCGGCGUCCCACAAGGAUCAAUCCUGGGACCUGUUCUCUUCAGUCUAUAGUCGCAACUGACCUACCGCUCGCCGACCGAUAGCGAGUCUCAUCCAGUUCAAAUGGCGUUUGGAAUCUUCAAUGGCCUCAGUGCAGACAUGUUUCACUGCAAACUCAUUUAAAAUGAACGCAACCAAUUUGCCUUUCUUGACCUUUGAUUAAAGGGACUAUCCCACCUUUAACAUGGGGUUUGAGUUGAGAUAGCCAAGUUUGCGGCGAGGUUCAGAAACCACUAUCUAUCUAGGUUGCAACCCCCGCGGCCUCUUGGUGUUGAAGAAAUUCGUUCCCUUCAUUUGAAAAUGGGCCUUGCGCAAGGCCCUAUCUUCAACAUGGAGCGACCGUUAGUGUGACGUCACCUCGUUUAGUCAUUCUGAUUUAAAUGGGUUUGUUCGUUGAAAAAUCGCUUAAAACUUGGUCUGAACUUUGUUGUGGGCAUGUUUUUUAAUCCCACCCAGAAAUGACAAACAAGCUCCCUGAUUGGCCAGUUGCCGGCCAGUUGGACUUGAGCCAAGGCCAUAUAUCUUGAGCGGUCGCCAUGGUGGUAUGGGGGACUCGGCCGGCAUCGUCGUUAGGUGUUGAAUUAUGUGUUUCGUUGUGCUAGAUAUUGCCAAUUUGCUUUGUUAUUUGAAAAAUAACGUUGGCUCAUUCUUUGGUGACCUUGCAUACUAAUACGACGAUAUUUUGAUACCGAUUAUUAUGCAUCAAACAUCAUGAGACAAAUGUGGCGAUUUCUACACCCUUUUGCAGUGCCCCCUCCCCUUGUGUAGUGAGUUAACAGGUUUGUAAGAACCAAGUGAACCAUUUUUUAGUCAAGUGGUCAUGAUCGUCCCUACAUCUAAUGGAUAAUAGUCUUGCGCAAACUUAUAAAGUACUGGAGGAAGCAGAAGUUACGAUUUUGGAGUACGCAAACUUGAUAUUAAAAAAUCUCAGGUAUUUUGGCUAUAUAAAGUGGGAAGAAAAGUUCAAUUGAUCAUUUUUUAUUACAAUUGCAAUAAUGAUAAUAUCAUGAUAAUUAUACUGUCAGGUAUUGAUAAUAGUCAUGUCACGUCAUGCCACUAACCAGGCACACAGACACAACACAUUUUCAUCUUUAUGUAUCUAGGCAUAAGGUAUUACAGGCAUGUUUUUGCACACCUCUCAUGUGCGAGUGGGCAUGACCUCCUUCACAGUUUAGUUUUGGCUGAUUGUGCUCAAAUUUUAUAAGUAGGUACCUACAUGUAAAGGGAUGUAGAUACAGUUAAUCGGGCACUCUUCUUAAUUCAGUUUUGUGCACCACUUCCUGCUUUCACCAUGCUGUGCCCACUCUGCUUUACAGUGGACAGCUGCUUCUGUGGUGACACGCAUUAAUCUUGCGUUCAUUGAAACACUUAGUUUUGAGUGUUUUGACUCAGCUUUGUUGUAACGUUACCUGUGUUUAUAUUUUCAAUAACUUGUUUUGGGCUUCUCAUAUUUAUCUUUUUUUCUUGGCUUAGCAGGUUUAGUGUAAAACAAGUUUUAGCUGACAUUUUACAUGUUAAGAUUACAUGAGUGCAUACAUUUUAUAAAAGCUAUUUCAAAGUACUGUAGCCAUGUGUAACAUGCAUAUGUCUUAGUGAAUGACUACUCAGCAUGCUGCUUGGUGCUCAAUGGUAAUAGUUUGAUUUGUUUUUGACAUAAAGUAAGAAUUGAUUUUUGUUUCUGAGAUUCCAAUGUUAUUUGUGGCAAAUAUUUUCCAAAAAUCCUCCAUCUAAAGCUUCAACUGAAUUCUAAAAUGCCUGCAUUUUCUACCAGAAACAUUAUCAUUGAUACCUCCUACAAUAUUUCAUUUUGUCACCAGGUACCUGGACUGGUGAAAAGUGAAAACUGAAAUUCAUUCAUGUCACCAUUAUCCUACGACCUACCCCUAAAUGGAAUUGAUCUUGUUUCACAAAUGAGUUGUACAUUGUACAAUGUCUAUCGGCUGAUGUCUAUUGUCUAUCUCUCUUUCAGCACAGAAGAUCCUCAGUCAUAGUUAACAAAAUGGAAAGAAAUUAGCUGUGUUUUUAAGAUUCCAGUGGUGGCCAUCAACUGCUCAGGAAAGCAGCCCAGAAUCACUUCACAACAGGUUUCCAAAGGAUCAUCAUUCAUCAGCACAGAAGGGUGGGAAAGAGAAGGCUGUUCAAAUUCUGAAAAGCCAAAGCUGCAAAGGAGGUCAAAGAUGCAGUGCAGUUGGCCCACUCAGUAGAGUUUCACUAGUGAUUCUGAUGUGGACUGAAGAUUACACGCUGGAUUGAAGUGGCCGGUCUGGAGCAGCUGUAGUUCAUCAUUCUUGCUGAUUGUGGACGAGUAAGAGCCCGCGUUGGCCCCGAUCGGCGAUCGCUGGCCAAAGCCCACCACCAGUUUGGUGAUAGGCGUUGGCUGUGAUAUCUAGUGUCGCCUAUGUGUGAAAAGGACAAGUUCAUAACAAAACCUGUUGCGCCAUGUUAUUAACCCGCGCCCGGGUGGCCCUCAGCCAACUCGGUGUGGGGGGGGGGGGGGAGGUGUAUUCGGCCACACCAGGUUAUCUUGGAAUGUAGCAAAGCUGGAAAGACGCAGUAAAAUCAAUCUAUAGAUCGCUAUUUUUCUUCAGAAACAUGCAGGUCAUUUUUGAUCAGGUCAUCGCUGAGGUCACUGGAGGUCACCAAAAGUAAAAUGAUGACGAAUUUUGGCCCCCGAUUUUGACAACUUCACAAAUUGGUUCAUAAUUCGGGAACCAAAGAAGCUACAGCGCCGCGGAAAAGCGAAUUCGAUAGCUCUUU
rnacentral:lncRNA from 1 species